UGAGUUGCCAAAAUCCAGAUUUCUUCUAAAGAAGCUGGCAUGUUCUCCUGAGGUGCAUGGAUAACAAUAACCACUGAGCCCACAAUGCACGAAAUGCAUCCCAGUACACCUAAUCUUUGCAAUCGUUCUUUCAACAGAAAGUGUGCCAAAAUAGCACUGAUAAUUAUACUCAAAACGCCAAGAGGAGUCACCAGAACUGCUGGAGCAUAAAUAUAAGCCACAAA
rnacentral:misc_RNA from 1 species